AACGAACGCUGGCGGCAUGCCUAACACAUGCAAGUCGAACGAUCCCUUCGGGGUUAGUGGCGCACGGGUGCGUACCGCGUGGGAACCUGCCCUUAGGUUCGGAAUAACUCAGAGAAAUUUGAGCUAAUACCGGAUAAUGUCUUCGGACCAAAGAUUUAUCGCCUUUGGAUGGGCCCGCGUUGGAUUAGCUAGUUGGUGGGGUAAAGGCCUACCAAGGCGACGAUCCAUAGCUGGUCUGAGAGGAUGACAAGCCACGCUGGGACUGAGACACGGCCCAGUAUCCGAGGGAACAGAGCAGUAGGGAAUAUUGUGCAAUGGACGAAAGCCUAGUCCAGCAACGCGGGGGAAGUGAUGAAUGGCGUAGUGUUCUGAAGCUCUUUUUCCCGGGAUGAGAAUGACGGUACUGGGUGAAUAAGCCCCGGCUAACUACGUG
rnacentral:rRNA from 1 species